UUUAUUUAUGAACUGAAAGAAAUAAAGAAAGAAAGAAAGAAAAAAACGUUUAUUUGAUCACAAACCAGAGACAAGAACAAUAGUUUAAAAUGACUAUACAAAGCAACAUACACAUACUACUCUUACACACUUCAAACCAUCGCGUGCCUCAGGAAUGCGCCAAAUUGGUUCGGUUCGGCAUUAGUCAGAUUGCCAUAGUAAAAAUGGUACCUGACACUGGUUUUCAACCAA